ensembl:lncRNA
AGGCAGUAAGUCUGACCAGUUUUACCUGCUAAAUGCUGCUGAAUCCUGCUUAUCCUCCCCACCCCUGCCCCAGGGAUGUAGACCCCAGACCAGUUGGACCUGAAGAUUGGUGAUGCAGACUCCUUCUUACCUCACCACCACCCCAUCAGAAGAAUGUCCAUGAGAAUCAAUCACUCCCUCUUUGAACAAUUACUAUGAAACUUCUCACAGUCUUUCCCAAGUGGGGACAUAUGCCUUUGAGGACAUGAGCCUGCUGGGUUCCCCUUUGCCUGGCAAAGCAAUAAAGCUAUCCUUUUCUACUUCGCCCCCAAACACUCUAUCUCCGAGAUUUUAUUCAGCACCAGUAUACAGAGAAGCUGAGCUUUUGGCAUCACUUUCAGACUUGACCCUGGCAUCACCUCCCCCAUCAUUCAGUCUUCCCACCUGGGUCGCCCUUGUGCUCUGUGCACACCUUCGAAUAUCUGAGGGGCUGCCUUGUAUUAGGAAUGAGACAGAUGAUGGAAACCCAGAUUGGGAGGUGGUCUUUGGGAUUUCAGAAUCAUUUAGGGAAAAGAGGCAAAAACCCCGGAGC